ensembl:lncRNA
UCGAACUGCGUCCUCUAGGGGUCGCUAUGGGGAACGCCUCGUCGUGACCCGUGUCUGAAGCAUACAUUGAAAAAACACCAACUCGUUGGCCGGCGACAGCCAUGACGUCACUACCGGUGCGACUCCAGUAUAAAUCGGCGCCGGGAGCUACACAUCAUUCUCUUCUUCGUCUUCAUUGACUGUUCUGUUUGAAGCGUGCAUUUUCAAGGAAAAAGUAAGAGCUAUCUAUUUAUUAUGGCGAGCACUAGUAGAGCAUUUAGAAGGUGUGUGCAUCCGUGUCAGCGCUAGUUGACACCAGAUGACACACACGAUUUAUGUGUUGUUUGUUUGGGCGAGGAGCACGCACGCGAUGUCCUCGAGGGGGCAAUCUGCGUGCAUUGCGAGUUUUUUCCAAUGAAAAAACUCCGUUCUCGUUUGUCUCUCUUUUCAAGUAAAGAGGGGCAGCCAUCUGCUUCCCGCGGUUCAGGACCCUCCGCUGCUGAGGCACGGAGGAGAAUGAGCUCGUGGGGAUCUCAGGGGGACCUGGCCGAUGAGUUUAGAGAGGGGCUUUCCUUCUCGCGCUCAUCGGCGGGGGGCGAGAGACAGCCACUGGAGGAUGAUGUUCUCUCUUUAACAUCAUCUGAUCCAGGGGCCAGUGCUCUGCUGGGUUCAGCCCAGGAAGAGCAGGAAAUGGAUGAUGAGAGCGAAGAAGCUGAGGCUGAGCCUUCUCAAUCCUCCUGCCCUGCGUAUGAUGAGCUCUUAGAGGUUAUGGAUCGCGCCACGGCAAGACUUGACUUGCCAUGGAAGCGGACUAAGGAAGUGGCGUCGCGAGGUCGUCUCGACGAACGUUAUCUUUCUGGCCAUAACCCUCCAGCUCAGGUGAGUCUUCCUUUCCUUCCUGAUCUCCAUACUGAGAUCGAGAAGGAAUGGAAGAAGCCGUUUUCCUCACGCAUCCAUCGGUUUCAGCAUACCAGUUAUGCGAAUAUCGAGGCGGUGCGCGAAAACGGCUAUGAGAGAAUGCCCCCUGUAGAAGAGACGCUAGCUAGCUAUCUCUCUAUGGGAGAGACAUCAUCUCUCAAAACUCCCUCCUUGCCAUCCAUGCCUCUUCAAGCUACAUCUAAAAUGAAUGGCAAGGCAUACGCAGCAGCAGGUCAGGCUGUUGCUUCACUGCACACGAUGGCGGUGCUCCAAGCAUACCAGGCUGAUCUGCUGAAAGACCUGGAUAAAGGCGAGGGCCUUUCUUCUGAUGAGAUGGCUGAGUUACGCCGCACCACGGAUCUUGCUCUUCGUGCUACUAAGCAGGCUGCCUCUGCCAUGGGCAGAUCUAUGGCAGCGAUGGUAGUAACGGAGAGGCAGCUGUGGGUAAACCUGGCAGACAUCGGGAAGAAAGAAAGGGGUUUUCUUCUCGAUGCCCCGGUUUCGCCCUCUGAACUUUUUGGUACAUCCGUUGAGGCGGUCGUCGAAAAGUUCAGGGAGGCGAAGGCACGCUCAGCGGCCUUCAAAACCUUCAUUCCACGAAGGUCCAGGUCUGAGCCCGAACAAACCAGGGGUCCUGGCCCGUCUCGAUUUGAGGAUCAGAGACGAGCACAGAAGGCUAGUGUCGCGACUCGCGCUCCUCCUCCGCCUGCGGGUAGGGGUAGGAAGUAUCGUGGGUCGAAGGGAGGUAGGCAAGACCUGAGGGAUGUGAUCCAGACAAGGCGUCAGAGCUUUCGUCCGGAUCAGAGUAAUACUUAG